CUAUAAAUGAAGAUGUGUUUAUUGUACAAUUUUGCAUUGAGGAAAAAAAGAGAGAUACCCUAAUAUACUUUUUUCUUCAAAGCAAGAAAGACUGAGAGAGGUUAUCAUAGAUAUUGUUCUUCUGAGUGACCAGACCAUCCGUAAACAUCCUUUAUAGUAUACUCAAAAUAGUCAUUAUGGAAAUUAACCUAGGUAAGCCAAGGUUAUAAACAAGCUAUAAAAGAGUGAGUUUUCUGUUAUCAAGAUGAGGUUCUGCUACUGGGCAUUGUUGUCACCAUCAGUUUUCACAGCUGUGUUGUAUCCCAUGGUUAACAAAGCAAGACUGCAUAUAUUACCUCCCUUGAUUUUCACAACAGCCCCAGUUUACAACCAAGAAAACUGCAUAGGAAAUGUGGGUAUUGAGCAGAGAAAAUGAACUUGAUCCCUUUCUCUGCCGUGUUUUAAUUGUAUGACCUCAGACCUACACUUUCCUGGGUCUCAGCUGCUUAAUAGAGCCACCCAUUUCCUAGGAGUGAACGUGUAUAUCUGAAGAUGCUGAAGAGAUUGUUCACUGGGUAAUUAUUAGGAGGUCAGUACCCCAUAGACACAAACAAAAUAUGAAAUAUCUAAGUCGCCUAAGCUCAGUCUGUCAUGCCUUUUUUUUUUUUUUGGACAAUUGAAAGUUCAUACACCACCUCCUCACUCUCAAGUCCCACCCCACCCCACCCCCUGCCAUAC